rnacentral:rRNA from 1 species
AAUGGCCGCAGUAAUUUGACUGUGCAAAGGUAGCAUAAUCAAUAGUUUUUUAAUUGAAAGCUUGUAUGAAAGGUUGGACGAAAUAAUAUCUGUCUUUAUUUAAUAAUUAUUAAAAUUUAAUUUUUAAGUCAAAAAGCUUAAAUAAUUAUAAAAGACGAGAAGACCCUAUAGAGCUUUAUAAAUUUUAUUUUAUAAAUAUUUUAGAUUUUUUAUUUUUAUAGUUUUUAAUUUAUUAUAUUGGGGUAAUAGAAAGAUUUAAUUAAUUCUUUUUUAUGUUUUUAUUUAUUUAUAUUUUAAAUGAUCCAUUAUUAAUGAUUAUAAGAUUAAGUUACCUUAGGGAUAACAGCGUAAUUUUUUUAGAGAGUUCAUAUUGAUAAAAAAGUUUGCGACCUCGAUGUUGGAUUAAAGAUUAGUUUAGGUGCAAAAGUUUAAAUUUUUGGUCUGUUCGACCAUUAAAUCUUUACAUGAUCUGAGUUCAGACCGGUUUAAGCCAGGUCGGUUUCUAUCUUUAUUAAGUUAAAAUAUUUUAGUACGAAAGGACCAAAUAUUAAUUAUAUUAAUUUUAUUUUUGAAUAAUAUU